rnacentral:tRNA from 1 species
CCGCCCUUAGCUCAACAGCAGAGCCUCCGGCAGAUAACCGGAAGACGAUGGUGCGACUCCUUCAGGGCGGA